rnacentral:rRNA from 1 species
UACGUAGGGUGCAAGCGUUGUCCGGAAUUAUUGGGCGUAAAGAGCUCGUAGGCGGUUUGUCGCGUCUGCUGUGAAAACCCGAGGCUCAACCUCGGGCCUGCAGUGGGUACGGGCAGACUAGAGUGCGGUAGGGGAGAUUGGAAUUCCUGGUGUAGCGGUGGAAUGCGCAGAUAUCAGGAGGAACACCAAUGGCGAAGGCAGAUCUCUGGGCCGUAACUGGCGCUGAGGAGCGAAAGCAUGGGGAGCGAACAGG